rnacentral:lncRNA from 1 species
CUUAUUUUUCCUCUUCUUAGUUUCCUUAGAAGAAGAUGCCAAAUGAGCACUUUCAGUCUUAUUUUGCUUAAUCCUUUCCUCUUCUUGCACACAAUGUGAAAUGAGCUCAUUAAGAGUCCAGUUCUCCUUCAGGCAGUUAUAACUGACCUUAAACUGAUUAAAGUGUGCCGAAAGAGAUAUCAAAACAAAGUACACAAGCAGUUCCUCAGGUAAAUCCAGCUUGAGUGACUUAAGUUUCGAAGCAAGAUGAGACAUUUCCAAAAUNN